UGAGGUAUAGCUCAAUGGUAGAGUGCAUGCUUGUAGUGUACAAAGCCCUAGGUUCAAUCCCUAGCACCAAAA
rnacentral:tRNA from 1 species